rnacentral:lncRNA from 1 species
CCAGAAAGUCUUUUGACAAAGCUCUUUUCCCUUCAGGGAAGUGUGGGUGGUGGUGCUGGCGGGGCCAGACAGAGGAGCAAAAAAAAUAGACGCUCCAAAUAAAGCAGUGAAGUUCUUCUCCGCUGUGAUAAUGCGAUCUGAUCAGAUAAAGCCGAUUUGCUCUCUUUACUUUCACAGAAAAUAAUUUUAUGAAUCUUUGUAAAAAGGAGUGUUCCAGGGGCAAAACAAACAUGUGACACUUUCUAAAGGCCAACUCUACAUACAAAUUUAGACCUUGCUAAAAUAACUAGUUAUCAUGUGAUCAGAUCUCCACGGGCUUUUAAAAAUCAGCACGGGAAAUAUAUUUUGUUAGUUUCAUGUGGUUGCCAGAGCCCACUCUGGAUGCAUGAUUUACUAGGGCACGUGGCACAUGUUUUGAAAAAUCACCCUCCUUUGGGAAUUGGACUCCUUAAGAUAUUUGUUCAGAGAUGUUCAAGCUGUCAGUUACAAGAUGCUCGAGCCAGAAACGGGCAAGUCUGGGCAAAAUCCAUUAGUCGUGACCAAGGGUUCCGGAGUCCUGAAGACGAACAUGCAUAAUAAACAUACUUUGGUGGAGGAAUGGCCCCCAGGCUCCAAGAGCAAAAUAUCAGUAACCUCAUAUUCAUCAUCUCUUAUACCAUCUUUUCUAAUACCCACAGCAAGCUUGUGAAUUUGGUAAGUUAUUCUUAACCUCAUUUGACAGAUAAAGAAAUUAAAACUAAAAGAAGUUUGCUUAUGAAGAUGACACAGGAUUAAACGAAAGAAUCAGGACUUUAAUAGAGAUCUCUGACUUUCAGAGUGACGCACCAACCACUUUGCAUAUUGCCCAAGAGGAAGGUAAAAUCAUUGGCAAGUUAAUGUAUACAUCUUUAAUGGUGUUAAUAAUUGUAAUUGUGCUACAUAAUAAUAAUGGCAUAAGAGACGAGCAGUGCACAUAAGUGGCUGAAAUUAACAUGACUUUUAAACAUAGCCAUACUUAGUAUUUUUGGCACCUAUGAGGGAGGGAAGAAAGUUUCUGAGUUUGCCACUCAUUGUCUGAAUUUGGGAAACUGAAGGUGACAAAAUUUCCUUUUUCCACCUUCCUAUCAAAGCUUGUUGAUGACAAAGUCUGUGCAUUGCAAUAUGAAAUGAAGUGUGGGCCCAAAUGAAAUCCCCUGUUUUGGAGGGUAAAUUAAUUCAAUCAGAGAGCAUUGCCUGCACCCAUCGCUCAGAUAAUAGAUAGGGAUCUUUCCUUUUAGUAUUUCAGCAGUGUUUUUUUCUUAAUCCUUAAAGAGAGAGGGGAUGCCCAGAGUCUGUGGAGAACAGGUCAAGCGGAGUUGUUACUAAGCGAGGUCAGAAACAGGUUUGUUUUGAUAACCUUCUACCUCCCUGGUCUCCCUUGUCUAGACCCCUCAGCGAGAACUAGAGCCCUCUUCUGGUUCUAGGCACUGCCCUGAAGCAUCCCAAGGUUCUUCUAAAUGAUUCUCAAAUUAUUUUGACCUCAGGGAAAACUCUUAAUCCCUCAGUGUAGACAAGGAUUCAGCAAAUCGUUUUGCUAAAGGGCUAGAUAGUAAAUAUUUUCACCUCCACAGGGCCAAAUGUUCUCUCACAACUACUCGAUAUGCAAAUCGUAGUGUGAAAGCGGCCACAGACAAUAUGUAAACAAAUGAGAAGGGCCAUGUGUCAGUAAA